rnacentral:sRNA from 2 species
AAGCGUUGCCGCAGGCAACGACCCGAAGGGCGAAGCGCGCAGCGCUGAGUAAUCCUUCCCCCACCACCA